UGCCUAAACCUUAUUGAUAUAAGGCAUGGCGCAAAAACCCAGUAAGAGAUAUUGAGCUCGUCACCAGGGUACUCUUACUGGGUCAUAACUCGAAAGAGUUAUGGGUAGCCGAAAGGUUAUC
rnacentral:sRNA from 12 species